UCUCCAGACCCCGGGCACUGA
rnacentral:misc_RNA from 1 species